rnacentral:rRNA from 1 species
UACGUAGGGGGCGAGCGUUGUCCGGAGUUACUGGGCGUAAAGCGCACGCAGGCGGUCUGCUAAGUUUGGAGUGACAGUUGGUGGCUUAACUGCCAAAGUGCUUCGAAAACUGACAGACUUGAGGGCUUCAGAGGGACACGGAAUUCCGGGUGGAGUGGUGAAAUGCGUAGAGAUCCGGAGGAACACCAAAGGCGAAGGCAGUGUCCUGUGGAGUACCUGACGCUCAGGUGCGAAAGCCAGGGGAGCGAACGGG